rnacentral:tRNA from 3 species
GCGCUCGUAGCUCAGUGGAUAGAGCACUUGCCUCCGGAGCAAGGGGUCGGAGGUUCGAAUCCUCUCGAGCGCGCCA